rnacentral:rRNA from 1 species
AGUGGCGGACGGGUGAGUAACGCGUAAGAAUCUAACUUCAGGACGGGGACAACAGUGGGAAACGACUGCUAAUACCCGAUGUGCCGCGAGGUGAAACCUAAUUGGCCUGAAGAAGAGCUUGCGUCUGAUUAGCUAGUUGGUGGGGUAAGAGCCUACCAAGGCGACGAUUAGUAGCUGGUCUGAGAGGAUGAGCAGCCACACUGGGACUGAGACACGGCCCAGACUCCUACGGGAGGCAGCAGUGGGGAAUUUUCCGCAAUGGGCGAAAGCCUGACGGAGCAACGCCGCGUGAGGGAGGAAGGUCUUUGGAUUGUAAACCUCUUUUCUCAAGGAAGAAGUUCUGACGGUACUUGAGGAAUCAGCCUCGGCUAACUCCGUGCCAGCAGCCGCGGUAAUACGGGGGAGGCAAGCGUUAUCCGGAACUAUUGGGCGUAAAGCGUCCGCAGGUGGUCAGCCAAGUCUGCCGUCAAAUCAGGUUGCUUAACGACCUAAAGGCGGUGGAAACUGGCAGACUAGAGAGCAGUAGGGGUAGCAGGAAUUCCCAGUGUAGCGGUGAAAUGCGCAGAGAUUGGGAAGAACAUCGGUGGCGAAAGCGUGCUACUGGGCUGUAUCUGACACUCAGGGACGAAAGCUAGGGGAGCGAAAGGGAUUAGAUACCCCUGUAGUCCUAGCCGUAAACGAUGGAUACCAGGCGUGGCUU